CCUACGGGGUGCAGCAGUGGGGACUAUUGGCCAAUGGGCGAAAGCCUGAUCCAGCCAUGCCGCGUGUGUGAAGAAGGCCUUCGGGUUGUAAAGCACUUUCAGUGGGGAAGAAAGCCUUGGGGCUCCUACCCUCGAGGAAGGACAUCACCCACAGAAGAAGCACCGGCUAACUCCGUGCCAGCAGCCGCGGUAAUACGGAGGGUGCGAGCGUUAAUCGGAAUUACUGGGCGUAAAGCGCGCGUAGGCGGUCUGAUAAGCCGGUUGUGAAAGCCCCGGGCUCAACCUGGGAACGGCAUCCGGAACUGUCAGGCUAGAGUGCAGGAGAGGAAGGUAGAAUUCCCGGUGUAGCGGUGAAAUGCGUAGAGAUCGGGAGGAAUACCAGUGGCGAAGGCGGCCUUCUGGACUGACACUGACGCUGAGGUGCGAAAGCGUGGGUAGCAAACAGGAUUAGAUACCCGAGUAGUC
rnacentral:rRNA from 1 species